AUACGAGUCACAAAAGCCCAAAUUCUUGAAGGCGAGGCCCAAUAAGCAAAUUCCCAGCCCAAUCAAGAAAUCUAUCCAUACUUAGUUGAAAAUCAGGCCAAAUUGUCAAAGUGGCCCAAGUUGUAAAGUUUUAUUUUUAUUUUUAUUUAUUUAUUUACUUAGUUUAAAUUUUUAUGUCAAUAUUCAGUCCAAGAGUCCUAGAUAAAAUGACCUUUGACCGAAUUUCCAUAUUAAAAUAAUUAGGAGUUUUUUUUUAUUUUAGUUUUCUAAUUAGAUUAGGACUAGUUAUAAGGCCUAUUUAAAGGCAUGGCUGUCCACCUUGUUAAACACUUAUCAUUAUUAUUAAAAUUUCAGAUUUGUUGAGAGCAGAAUUUUCUUUGAGUUUUCUCCAAGAUUUUUCUCUUGAGUUUUCUUUAGAAGUUGUUUUAACAAUCUUGUGAUUGUGGGAGCCAUCUUCAACCUUCUUCUUGCCAUUGAUAUUCUUUGGAGGGGAGAUUAGAGCCGUUUGAAGGGAGUUGUGAGAUCUUUCGAGAUUUCAAGGCUUCUUAGGACUUAUCUUUUAAUUUCUUACUGUCAAUUCUUUCUUUAUUUC
rnacentral:lncRNA from 1 species